AACGAACGCUGGCGGCAUGCCUAACACAUGCAAGUCGAACGAGACCUUCGGGUCUAGUGGCGCACGGGUGCGUAACGCGUGGGAACCUGCCCUUAGGUUCGGAAUAACUCCCCGAAAGGGGUGCUAAUACCGGAUAAUGUCUUCGAACCAAAGAUUUAUCGCCUUUGGAUGGGCCCGCGUUGGAUUAGCUAGUUGGUAGGGUAAAAGCCUACCAAGGCGACGAUCCAUAGCUGGUCUGAGAGGAUGAUCAGCCACACUGGGACUGAGACACGGCCCAGACUCCUACGGGAGGCAGCAGUGGGGAAUAUUGGACAAUGGGCGAAAGCCUGAUCCAGCAAUGACGCGUGAGUGAUGAAGGCCUUAGGGUUGUAAAGCUCUUUUACCCGGGAUGAUAAUGACAGUACCGGGAGAAUAAGCUCCGGCUAACUCCGUG
rnacentral:rRNA from 1 species